AACCCUAGCUCCCGACCUCAGCUGUUUCUUACCUCACUCAGCUCGGCCGAGGAGUCGUUUCCAUAUUUCAUGGCAACUCCGGAAUUCAUGAUGCACUUUUCAGAGCUGGGCUCUACAUUUUAGUCUAGACAGCCAUUUUCACCCAGGACAGUGCUAGAGGGAGCCGGAGCGGAGCUGCACUUCACGCCGAAGUUUCCCCUUCGAAUCGUCUGGAGUUG
rnacentral:lncRNA from 1 species